ACUUUUAUAUCGUUCGACUGUCCUCGUUGGUCAUCCUAGUUGUUUCUAAGGUAAUUUACAGAAAUUAAUUAAAAAUGAAAGAGAAAGAAAGAAAGGAAGGAAACGUUUCUAAUAUUAGGACAACGAGAAACGUUUCUUCGGUGACAAGUGGUGCAAUAUUAUUGGUUUUAGGGGUAAAUUUUUUUUGGUCUUCUUCUUUAAUUUGUGAGUUCUCUCUUCUAUCUCUCUCUCUGCGACAGAAACGACGAUUUGUUUCCUUCUCUUCCAAUUGAUUUCCACAUCUGAUUCUCAAUGGUUUCGCCGUCGAUUUGGUGUUGAGUUUCCGCUGAAGCAGACGCAAGGAGAUUCCGGUGUAGAUCGAUCGAUUAGUCGGAGUGUUGAACUCUGGAUUGGUGAGAAGUUGAGUUCAAGCAAGUCACAGUUAAGGAGAAAACGAACCAACCAUUCAACCAACCCAAAGAGGUUCAGGAACUAUAGCAAGGUUGCGGUGAUGGAGGAGAUGAGAGCUUCUGAAACAAACUAUAGCAAGGUUGCAUCAAAGGUAGAUACUCUUACUCACUAUGAAACCGAAUCACAAGAUCAACAAGCUAGAGAAGCUUGUUGCUGAGUUGAGGACGAAGAACAGAUUGCAUCGGCUAUAAUGAUUUUUUGUUCAAGAACUAUUUGUGUUCACAUGUUCACAUAUGAAACUAUAUCACUAUGAAAAUAUAGCAAGGUUGCAUCGGCUAUAAUGAUUUUUUCUGACUAUGUGAUGCGCUUUUGU